rnacentral:tRNA from 2 species
GGCCAUGUGGAGGAAUUGGCAGACUCGCCAUCUUGAGGGGGUGGUGUCGUAAGACGUGUGGGUUCGAAUCCCAUCAUGGUCACCA